AGAGUUUGAUCCUGGCUCAGCCUGAACGCUGGCGGCGUGGCUAAGACAUGCAAGUCGUACGGUGUAGCAAUACACAGUGGCGAACGGGAGAGUAAUGAAUCGCUAAUGUGCCCCGGACUCUGGGAUAGCUGCCCGAAAGGGCAGGUAAUACCAGAUGAUAUAUCCUGCAGGCAUCUGCGGGAUCUCAAAGGUCCGCCGGUCUGGGAGCAGGCGAUUUCGUAUCAGCUAGUUGGUGAGGUAACGGCUCACCAAGGCGACGACGCGUAGCCGGACUGAGAGGUUGGCCGGCCUCAUUGGGACUGAGACACUGCCCAGACUCCUACGGGGGGCUGCAGUAACGAAUCUUCCGCAAUGCACGAAAGUGUGACGGAGCGACGCCGCGUGUGGGAUGAAGUCCUUCGGGAUGUAAACCACUGUCAGGGGUUAGAAAGUUCUGAUCAACCCCAGAGGAAGAGACGGCUAACUCUGUGCCAGCAGCCGCGGUAAUACAGAGGUCUCGAGCGUUAGGCGGAAUCACUGGGCUUAAAGCGUGUGUAGGCGGAUUGCUAAGUACCUUGUGAAAUCCCACGGCUUAACCGUGGAACUGCUUGGUAUACUGGCUGUCUUGAGCCACUUAGGGGCAACCGGAACAAACGGUGGAGCGGUGAAAUGCGUAGAUAUCGUUUGGAACGCCAAUGGUGAAAACAGGUUGCUGGGAGUGUGCUGACGCUGAGACACGAAAGCCAGGGGAGCAAACGGGAUUAGAUACCCUAGUAGUCC
rnacentral:rRNA from 1 species